GACGAACGCUGGCGGCGUGCUUAACACAUGCAAGUCGAACGGAAAGGCCCUGCUUUUGUGGGGUGCUCGAGUGGCGAACGGGUGAGUAACACGUGAGUAACCUGCCCUUGACUUUGGGAUAACUUCAGGAAACUGGGGCUAAUACCGGAUAGGAGCUCCUGCUGCAUGGUGGGGGUUGGAAAGUUUCGGCGGUUGGGGAUGGACUCGCGGCUUAUCAGCUUGUUGGUGGGGUAGUGGCUUACCAAGGCUUUGACGGGUAGCCGGCCUGAGGGGGUGACCGGCCCCUUGGGGCCUGGGAUCCGCCCCAACCCCUACGGGAGGCAGCAGUGGGGAAUAUUGCACAAUGGGCGGAAGCCUGAUGCAGCAACGCCGCGUGCGGGAUGACGGCCUUCGGGUUGUAAACCGCUUUCGCCUGUGACGAAGCGUGAGUGACGGUAAUGGGUAAAGAAGCACCGGCUAACUACGUG
rnacentral:rRNA from 1 species